GAGAGGCGGCUCACUGGCUCAUUAAGCGUAACUCUUCUUCCUGUUUUCAAGUCUGUAUAUAUGUUUAUAGGUUUGAUGUAGUUGUUAUCCGUGUUCAGAUUUUGUUCUUGGGGGUCA